rnacentral:tRNA from 1 species
GGACGCUUAGCUCAGCUGGUUAGAGCNNGGUCAUAGGUUCGAGUCCUAUAGCGUCCACCA